UUUUGAGUGGAAGGAAAAACAUGCUGUUUUUGUGCAUGUGUCUUUAAAUGCAAAUGAGCUGCUGCUCCCCGCCCCACUUUCCAGAAGAGGGCGGAGCCUGUAUAACUCAUGCCUCAGAAACUCUGCCAAAAACUAAAACAUCUGUUUGGUUUUGAUUACAUCUCUAUCACGGUCAUGCUCAUGUGGCAUUGCAGUUAAUUACUUGCAUGUGUUUUAACGCAGAGGUAUAAAGUAUUUGAGUAAAUGUAAUUAGUUAAUGUACUUAAGUAUCUUUUUGGCUACUUUGUAGUUGUACUGAGUAUCAAAGAUAUUAGCAACUUUUACUUUCUACUUAAGUACAUUUUUGAACAAGUAAAUGCACUUUUUACUCCAAUACAUUUGAGUUAAGUAAUGCAAUUACACAUUACAUAUUUCAUGGCACCUAACCUUUUCUGCAGCAGUUUGUUCCUGCUAUAAAGAAGCAAUAUUGCCAUCUACGGGCAUUGGAGAUAAUAUAUCUUGUGCGUUUUGCCCUUACUCAUCCUAACUUGUCAACAAGGCUACUUUACAUGAAUGCGAGUGCAUUAGCAAGUAGGUGCUGAAUCGCAGGUGUCUGAUUUAUGAAAUGAGGUCAUGCAGCCGGUGAUGAGGCCGAAACCAGCACAUCCAGUGCAAGCAGACAUUGACAAUUUAAUUUUACGUAACAUUAUUUUAUUUUUCCGCUAUAUUGACGAGACCUUUUUGAUGGAUAUUGAUUUACUCAUGGCCUUUUUGUGCAAUAUUAAGGUGUUCAGUUUUAAUUUGAUUUUAGAAAAUAAACAUGAUUUCUUAUCUUACAAAUCAAUUGUUUCUUAUUUUCACUGGCAUGUCUCUUAGGUAUCGAGGACUAGUGCAAUUUGAGCCUACAUUUAGUAUGAGUAAAACACUUAAGUACUGUUAAAAUCAGAUACUCUAUGACUUUUAGUCAUUUUGGAACUGGUGAGUCAUUUUCACUGUAAGGUAUCUGUACUUUUACUCAAGUAUGGUUUUCAGGUGCUCUUUACACCUCUGUUUUAAAGCCACAACUGUUUAAACUUCUGAUUAAAUGUUUUUCUGAGUGCAUGUAACUGGUUCUACUGACCCGCUACAGGUGGCCGGCCUAUGUCCGUUACACUGAUCCCCCCCAAAACCUCAUUCCCAUCCGGGUCGGGUCCCAAGUCCGGCUCGGGUUCACACAUCCAAAGCACUCGCACAAAAAGCUGGCUGUCAGAUGGUGCGUCCUCGCUGUACAGCUGAACAGUUUGAGGAAGCCUCGCUCAAUGCCCUGUCCAUGGUGCUGAACCACAGCCAGCACUGCACAACACUCAACCUCUGAGCACAGGGAUAUUUUCAACCCGAACAGGAUUUCUGCCAAAACUAUUAUCAGUAAAUGCACCUGUCAGUUCCACGAAGUUGUCCAUGAGCCACUGAUGGGCGUUUGAGCAGUCGUGCUGGUCGUUGAGGGUGAAGAGGUUGGACGGAGCGGGCCAUGUGGAUCUGUAUCUGGGCUGAUGUGGG